AUGUUCAGCUUACAUCCAUGUCUAACCCUCAUCCGUCCACAUCUUCACCGUAAUCUCUCUCUCUCUCUCUCUAGUACGGCUUAUGUCUUCUACUGCAAGAACUCCAUUUCUUGGACAUGGAAACAAAUCUGUGGGAUAAGAAAAGAGCUCUUAUAAGUUCCAUAGGUCGAUGCAUGAUAACCAUCUUUAGUAGUACCAGGCGAGGACAAGUUUGUUCCUUCUAUCUUUUCUGUUCUUAUCCUUCCUUCUUCCUUCUUUCUCUUCAGUGAGCAGAUUAUUUCUUCUAGCACUUGUUUCGAGAUGAGAAGUUGCUGCUUUGAGAGUCGCAAUCAAAUAACCCUGAUGCUGAUCUGUAAGUAGGGGAGGAGAGGAUGGUGAUCACAGGGAGCAGCCAGCGGUAGGAAGUGCUGCAAGACAACCUUUAAUGCCAGACGACGGCUACCAGUGGAACAAGUACGGUCAAAAACACAUCAAGAACAUCAACAAGACCAGGAGCUACUUCAAGUGCCGAAACAAGGAGUGCAAGGCAAAGAAGAGGGUGGAAUGGCCUCCUGCUGAUCCAUCCAACUUGAGAAUUCUCUACGACGGAUCGCACCACCACCAUCCUCCAGCGGAUUCACAGCAGCUCCCCGGUGUUGCAGGAAACCGGUAUGAGCUUGGCAACCAAGUUUUCGGUCGACUUAACGACCACCAUAAUCCCUAAUCUCUGGCUUAAUCCUCAUCUUGUAAUGUCCCAAGAUGAGCUCAGACUAUGCAUAUAGCAAUCCCACGCAAUAAAUGAAGUCCCUUCUUCUCUUUCGAAUGCUUUCAAUCCAGUGACAUAUUCUUUCAAGGUGAAUUCAGACUGCAGGUACAAAGGUGUUGAAUGCUGAAUGCUUUAAGUACUCCAUUGGUGAACAUGAGAGGAUCUUUAACUGCGAGCAGACGAUGAGAACAGAGAAAGACUAGAUAUCAUAGGACUGAUAGAAUAGUCAUAACUUUAAGUUCAGAAUGACCAAUCUGAAUUGUGGUUCAACUACCAUGGACAGCUUCUGGAUAGAGGAAUCAGCUCAACUAUAUACUAUGGAGAUGAUCAUUAAGAGGUUAUAUACGCAUCGGUACUUUGUUU